AGCGAACGCUGGCGGCAGGCCUAACACAUGCAAGUCGAACGAACCUUUCGGGGUUAGUGGCGGACGGGUGAGUAACACGUGGGAACGUGCCUUUAGGUUCGGAAUAACUCAGGGAAACUUGUGCUAAUACCGAAUGUGCCCUUCGGGGGAAAGAUUUAUCGCCUUUAGAUCGGCCCGCGUCUGAUUAGCUAGUUGGUUGAGGUAAUGGCUCACCAAGGCGACGAUCAGGAGCUGGUCUGAGAGGAUGAUCAGCCACAUUGGGACUGAGACACGGCCCAAACUCCUACGGGAAGCAGCAGUGGGGAAUCUUGCGCAAUGAGCGAAAGCCUGACGCAGCCAUGCCGCGUGAAUGAUGAAGGUCUUAGGAUUGUAAAAUUCUUUCACCGGGGACGAUAAUGACGGUACCCGGAGAAGAAGCCCCGGCUAACUUCGUG
rnacentral:rRNA from 1 species